rnacentral:rRNA from 1 species
ACUCCUACGGGAGGCAGCAGUGGGAAUAUUGCACAAUGGGGAAGCCCAUCGAUGCAGCCAUGCCGCGCUGUGUGAAGAAGGCCAAUUCGGGCUUGGUAAAGACACUUUCAGUAGGGAGGAAGGUAGUGUAGUUAACACCUGCAUUAUUUGACGUUACCUACAGAAGAAGCACCGGCUAACUCCGUGCCAGCAGCCGCGGUAAUACGGAGGGUGCGAGCGUUAAUCGGAAUUACUGGGCGUAAAGCGCAUGCAGGCGGCCUGUUAAGUCAGAUGUGAAAGCCCGGGCUUAACCUCGGAAUUGCAUUUGAAACUGGCAGGCUAGAGUCUUGUAGAGGGGGUGAGAAUUGAUCAGGUG